CUUCAUACUAAGCCUCUCAUUGUUCAGGGGCUGGGAAGAUUCUAUCCAGCAUUACUGGCCAAGAUGGAUUUAGUGAAACAGAUUCUACACCAAAGAGGAGGGGCCAAUUUGUGCCCACCCUAAAGCAAAAUGGGUCCAGAAGAAGAUCAAACAGCUGCGGUCUGCCACUCACAAAUGAUUUUCUUCACCAAAAAUGAAGAGAAGUGAAGAAUCUGGCAAAGGUUUUCUGGCAAAAAUGACUGCUCAGUGUUAUAAUCUUUUCUCACUCACCCUCUUUAAAUCAGUCAUAUGCUUUUUUUUAAAUGUACUCUUGAAAUUGACAGAUUGCUGUAACAACUGUCAGAAUGUUGACCAAUCAAUGUGGUAUAAAAUAUACAGA